rnacentral:rRNA from 1 species
GACGAACGCUGGCGGCGUGCUUAACACAUGCAAGUCGAACGAUGAAGCCGGCGCUUGCUCUGGUGAAUUAGUGGCGAACGGGUGAGUAACACGUGAGUAACCUGCCCUUGACUCUGGGAUAACUGCGGGAAACUGUAGCUAAUACCGGAUACGACCCUCGGAGGCGUCUCCUGGGGGUGGAAAGAAUUUCGGGCAAGGAGGGACUCGCGGCCUAUCAGCUAGUUGGUGAGGUAAAGGCACACCAAGGCGACGACUGGUAGCCGGCAUGAGAGGGUGACCGGCCACACUGGGACUGAGACACGGACCAGACUCCUACGGGAGGCAGCAGUGGGGAAUAUUGCACAAUGGGCGCAAGCCUGAUGCAGCAACGCCGCGUGAGGGAUGACGGCCUUCGGGUUGUAAACCUCCUUUAGCAGGGAAGAAGCGAAAGUGACGGUACCUGCAGAAAAAGCACCGGCUAACUACGUGCCAGCCGCCGCUGUAA